GCUGGGCGUGGUGGCGCUUGCCGGUAAUCCCAGUGGCUUGGGAGGCUGAGGCAGGAGGAUCACAAAUUCAAAGCCAGCCUCAGCAAAAGUGAGGCACUAAGCAACUCAGUGAGACCCUGUCUCUA
rnacentral:sRNA from 1 species